rfam:Oryza glaberrima chromosome 8 Oglab08_0031_16, whole genome shotgun sequence.
AAAAAGUCAAACUGUGUGUUCCCGUGCCAAUAUUUGACUGUUCGUUUUAUAUGAAAUUUUUUUAUAAUUAGUAUUUUAGUUGUUGUUAGAUAAUAAAACAUGAUUAAUACUUUAUGCAUGACUUAUCUUUUUAAUUUUUUUUUAUAUUUUUUUUAAAUAAGACGGACAGUCAAACGUUGGACACGAAAACCAGGGUUUGUCUUUUU